UACGUAGGGCGCAAGCGUUGUCCGGAAUUAUUGGGCGUAAAGAGCUCGUAGGCGGCUUGUCACGUCGGGUGUGAAAGCCCGGGGCUUAACCCCGGGUCUGCAUUCGAUACGGGCUGGCUAGAGUGUGGUAGGGGAGAUCGGAAUUCCUGGUGUAGCGGUGAAAUGCGUAGAGAUCAGGAGGAACACCUGUGGUGUAGACAGCUUACUGGACGAUAACUGACGCUGAGGCACGAAAGCGUGGGUAGCAAACAGG
rnacentral:rRNA from 1 species